rnacentral:rRNA from 1 species
UACGGAGGGUGCAAGCGUUAUCCGGAUUCACUGGGUUUAAAGGGUGCGUAGGUGGGCCUGUAAGUCAGUGGUGAAAUCUCCGGGCUUAACCCGGAAACUGCCAUUGAUACUAUAGGUCUUGAAUUUUCUGGAGGUCAGCGGAAUAUGUCAUGUAGCGGUGAAAUGCUUAGAUAUGACAUAGAACACCGAUUGACGAAGGCAGCUGACUACGGGAACAUUGACACUGAGGCACGAAAGCGUGGGGAUCAAACAGG